rnacentral:misc_RNA from 1 species
UUAAGGAGGAAAUGCCUGCCUGGCUGCAUUUUUGCACCUUACUUCCCACCAGAGGAGCCUCAAAAAUUUGCAAAUGUCCACAAGAUCUUUGGAGCUAGUAAUGUGACCAAGCUCCUGAAUGAGCUUCUCCCACACCAGAGAGAGGAUGCAGUGAAUUCCCUUGCCUAUGAAGCGGAGGCACGAGUAAGGGACCCAGUUUAUGGGUGUGUUGGUUCUAUCUCAUUCCUCCAGAGGCAGGUUCAAAGGCUCCAGAAGG